AACAGGGGAGUUUGGAUUGUGGUGCUUGUUUGGGGUUUGCUUUUGCUGGGGAGGAGGAGGGUGUGGUCUUUUUUGUGUGGCGUCUGUCUCCAGAUUAACAGGAUUUAAGUGAGAAGGAGAUGACAGAUACAGAGGCAGCUGUGGGAGUGACUCCUGUAGUGAAAGACACAUUGAGGAUGACUGGAUGUGGAAGCUGUGUCAUUUCCUUAGACUGAAACAGGAAGCAUGAGAAAAAGGUUCUGCAGCAGUAACUGACUACAUUAAUUCUUCAAUGGAAAUUAAUGGGAAGAAUAUAACAAGAAUAAAGACAUAUACCUGAAGAUAAAAUAAUCAUUUCCCAAUUUCAAUUCUGACUUGACUGGAGUGGCCACUAUGUCGCAAAACGUUACAGCACUCAUUUUUGAAAGGGAAAAGAAAAUCCUCACCGCUGCCCUUAUUUCAAACUGCUGUUUUACAAGAUUGCACGCACUUCACGCAGGGCCUCAUUUUCAAAAGAGCAAGGGACUGAUGUAGCCAGCAUCGCAAGAUAUUUACGUGCCAGAUGCACUAAAGAUUCAUAUGUCCCUUCAUGCUUCAACCACCAUUCUAGGAGACAUGUGUCC